rnacentral:rRNA from 1 species
UGGGGAAUAUUGGGCAAUGGGGGAAACCCUGACCCAGCAACGCCGCGUGAGGGAAGAAGGUUUUCGGAUUGUAAACCUCUGUAAUCGGGGACGAAGAAAUGACGGUACCCGAUAAGAAAGCCCCGGCUAACUACGUGCCAGCAGCCGCGGUAAUACGUAGGGGGCGAGCGUUGUCCGGAAUUACUGGGCGUAAAGGGAGCGUAGGCGGCUUUUUAAGUCAGAUGUGAAAUACCCAGGCUUAACCUGGGGGCUGCAUUUGAAACUGGAAGGCUUGAGUGUAGGAGAGGAAAGUGGAAUUCCUAGUGUAGCGGUGAAAUGCGUAGAUAUUAGGAGGAACACCAGUGGCGAAGGCGACUUUCUGGACUAUAACUGACGCUGAGGCUCGAAAGCGUGGGGAGCAAACA